GAACAAUUCAUGCAGCCAGUCUUUACUGAACAUGUACGUGCCUAGGAAGUCUCAGGAAUGGAUAGAAGAUAAAGUACAUAAUAGUUUCCUGAAGCAGCAGAAUGAAAGAACUCUCUGUGGCAUGAAAAUUUACUGGAGGCAGCAGCUGAGGCUGUGGUGGGAGAAGAAUGACAAGAACUGAGCGUGGGCCACGGGCUCUUACCUUCAGCAACUUCAUCAGCUCUUCCAGCUGGACCAUCAGCUCCCGCCUGCUCUCCUGCAGGGCCGACAUCCUCUGCUCCAGUUCAUCCUUCCUUUGCCUAUCCAAGACGAGAAGCCUAUCAGAUAAAGAGACCCUCAAAGAUGGAUCUAAGGCCAGGUGAAAUGGAUUUCAGACCUGAUCCUGCUACUUACCAGUUAUGAGACGCUGAGCAAGUCAUUUAGCAUCCAAUACCUCAUAAAAUGGUGAUAAUGUCUGUUUUGCCUACUUCCUGGACUGUUCUGAGAAUAAUAGGUAAAAGUGCUUUGGAAAGUUUAGAUGACUAUAUAAAGGUAUUACUUAUAUUACCAGAGUGAAUUAAUGAUUAAAAAACUCUUUAGAAAAUCAAUGCCUUUUGAAAAAUAUAUAAAAUUAGCCCAAAUUUAGAUUAAUAGUAAAGAAACCAUAUUAAACUGCUCAGAGAAAACAGGGUCCAGUAGUAAGUACUUUCAGCACUAGACAGAUUCAAGAAGGAUGACAGAUCAGGACGGCUCCCUGUGUUCAAGAACAGUCACUUUUCCUUGAGGAUAGAUUUUAUGCCAUCUACUCCAGCUCAAUAUGUCCAAAACCAGACUUAAGACUUUAUUCCCUAAAUGGUUUUCUUGUCUCUGUCUCUUUUUUUUUCCUUGUCUCUGUCUCUUUUCCCUGUCUCUGCUAUUUUUCCUUCCAGGUGUCAUGGUUGAAAAACUCAGUCCUCUUUGUUACUUUCUUCUUUAUAUCCUGUAUUCAAUCAAUAACUCAAUUCAGAUCAUUCUUUCUUGGAAAAUGUAUGUGCCUAUCUUUCUAUUCCCAUUUCUCUCACUUUAUCUAAGCACUCCUUACCUCAAGCAUGAAACAGUCUCCUUAUGUGAUUAAUCCUGCUUUCUUUUUUUUUUUUUUUGUGACGGAGUCUCACUCUGUCGCCCAGGCUGGAGUGCAGUGGUGCCAUCUUGUCUCAACUGCAACCUCCGCUUCCCCAGUUCAAGUGAUUCUCCUGCCUCAGCCUCCUAAAUAGCUGGGAUUACAGGCAUCGCCACCAUGCCCAGUUAAUUUUUGUAUUUUUAGUAGAGAUGGAGUUUCACCAUGUUGGCCAGGCUGGUCUCGAACUCCUGACCUCAAGUGAUCCACCUGCCUCAGCCUCCCAAAGUGCUGGGAUUACAGUCGUGAGCCACCGCACCUGGCUCUUUCAUCUUUUAUGGUGAGGAAAAAGCAGUGAAAUAGAAGUCAAUGGCCUCAAAGUUGAGUAUCAGCACCAGUAUUUACCAAAUAUGCAACCUUAGACAAGUCACUUAGCCUCAGUUUUCUCUCUUCUAAAAGGGGACUAGUAACAGCAACAAUAUUCUGAGGAUCAUAUAAGGUAAUAAAUAUGAGAGUGUUCUACGAACUUUAAACUGCCGCUCAAAACAAAGCUAUGUUCAUUUCAUCAUCCCAUAAUGAUCUCAACAGACUUUCUAGCAUCACUGACCCUUGCCUGUGCAAUCGAGACCUACGCUGUCUAUCACAGCAGCCGCUAGCCACGCGUGACUACCGAGCCCCUGAAACAGGGCUAGGCUGAACUGAGAUGCACGGCAAUUGUAACAUACACACUGGAAUUCAAAGACUUAGUGCAGGAAACAGCAAAGUAUCUGGAUCAUGUUUUAAUACUGAUUACAUGUUGAAAGGACAAUAUUUUGAAAAUAUCAGGUUAAGUAAGAUAUACUAUUAAAAUUAAUGACGCCUAUUA
rnacentral:lncRNA from 1 species